UAGUCUUACAUUCUUGAACCUGUAAAAGGAAAAGUAAUAAGCACUUUUCUCUAUCCACUACAAGUGACUCUAUAAAUAAUGGCCUUAAGUGGCAGCAGGGAAAACUUACAAUAAAAUCGAAGAAAAUUCUGAUGAAAACAGUUCAGCACUGGAAUCAGUUUUCUACAGAGGUAAUGUUGUUACUAGAAAGAGACUGACAAACCUUAAGGAGCUUUUAGGUAUAGCUGAUCCUGCUUUGGCACAAGAGAAAUGACUUCUCAAGAUUCCUUCCUCCUCUUGUCUAUGAGCCGAGAAAGAAAAAAGUGUGCCUCAUUACUCUUCAGCCUCAACAGAUGCUAACUUAGAGUUUUCCUUUUCCCAUCUAUGACCCUGAUAUACUUCUCUUUUUUUCUGUGAGGUUUAUUGGUUUAAUAACUCUUCAGUUUGUGUGGCCUGGAGAAUCAGGUUUUGCAGUUGUAUGGAACAAAGAUAAUCAUGGUGUUUUGUAGUCGUCUUUAACUUUUAUUUUAAGACUAACAAAGGAUCUUUAAAAAAUGAACUAAAUUAUAAAUGUCAUUGUUGCAUAUUUGAACUGUCAUGAAAAAGGCAAAAUAAAGAAAAACUGCAACCAUACAUAACUCUGCACAGAAAUGUAGUAGGAACAGCGUCCAGUUUAGCCUCCACAAAAUCCUGCCCCUGAAAAAUCUAAUUAGUAGAGAGAGGGGAAAAAAAAGCCACACACAGAAAUCAACUGUUGUUUCUAGGAAGCUAUCCUUCAUUUCCUCUUAAAAGUAUAUGCCAUAGGGAAAUUCUGACUUUGUCAUUUGGAUCUCUGAAAUUGUUAUCUGCUAAGCCAGGAUACUUUUUCUAAGUGGAAAGAUGUUUAACUCACUGAGCCAGGGGAAGGGUGGUUAAGCUCAUUUGACAGAGAUAGUUCCCUCCUGUCCGAAAUCUUGGAAUGAAAUUCUCUGCAUGUGUUUAUGCAUUCCGUGCUAUCAGAGGUCUUUGUACUGUGUUUACUGAACAGCUUUUAUGAGAUAUAAAUACCAGCACAUUCUGGUAAGUUUCUAACAAACAGAAUGGUCUACUCAAUCUCAAUAUGGUCCUGUGUUGUAGUAGAUUGGCUACUAUACUUCAAUAAUGGGAAAUACGUUUAAAUUUUAUCCAAUGGUGUGUAUAUUUUAUAAAUUUAGAUACCUUGUGGGUGUAUAGAAGCUGAUUGUAUACCAUUAUUCAUUACGUGCCUUAUAUCAAGCUUUGGUUCCCAUUCUUUUCUGUAGUCACACAUUAGCACUCUUGAAGCUUCCUGCAGAACUGGUUUAAACUAGUCACCCCUGCCUAAAGAACAUUCUAUUUCUUCUGCUCCUGUCAUUAUAAAAACUUAUUAUUGAUAGUUGGUGAUUUUCCAGUACUCUUCUUGACUCGUAAAACUGCAGACUGGGUGCUCACAGAUCAGCCACGUCUCCGAGAAAGUGUGAUAGGUGGAUAGAUGGAUAACUGAUGCGUCAUUUAUGAAAGGCUGAUGAUGAUUACCUCCUAUAAUUGAUCAGCUGCAUUAUCAGCCAACUUGCAAUUAAGAGAUAAUAAGGCACUUAUUAAGUUAAGAACUCUGGAGGUGAUAGUUUAAAUUGCACUGACCACAGAAUUAAUGUUUUGUGUACUUCAUUCUUACUAUCUGCAAUCACAUCUCUUUCUACUGCACUGAGCUGAUUUUAGCCAUGUUCUUUGCUGUGACAUGGUUUCAUUCUACUUUGUGGAUUAUCUUCCUGACAGCGUGGUUGGGAUGCUGGGAAUGGGAGAGACAUCUUUUCCGAUUUAAUUCAAAUGGUUAUGAUUUGUUGAGGUGGGAAUUUUACUGGUACCUUUAAUGGCUGAUAAAAAUAGUUGAUAAAUCAAUGAAGCCAGGUGUGACAUAGGCCACACACUCAGACAAAGAACUCAAAUAUACUUGCCGCAUCUUAUUUAUUUAUCUUUCUCUUUUCAGUUGAGAAAACUUCCCCAAUAUGCUUAUCUUAAAAUAAAACAUCUUGUUUCUCAGGUAAUGUAAAUAAGCAUGGAUGACCAAUCUCUCUGUUGCAAAGGAAGUAUAAGUUUCUCAAAUUGAUUACCCUCAUAGCUUCUCAGGAGAUCUACAUUUUAAUCAGCUGAUGAAACAGAUGUGGGAGGAUUGUCAUGAGCUCUGCUUCUGAAAUCAGAGAGAAGCAACUACAGCCUGGAAGAGAGGGCUUAAGUUCGAAGCUGUGAAGUUAUAUGGAAGAACCGGAGGCUGCGGAACCAGGAGUCAAAUUCGAAAGGAGGUUCUUAAUGCAAGAGGGAAGAUCUGCUGAACGUUCUUUCCAGAGGACUUAGUGGGUGCAAGGAGUUUACCUGAAUUCAAGGUAUCAAACAAGUCCUUAUAUGUGAGAUUGGAGUAAUGAGAAAACAUGAGUUUGGGGUCUGUCACUACAAGAGCAUAUCCAGAGAAGGGCUGUGAACCUGGUGAGGGGUCUGGAGCACAGGUCUUGUGAGGAGCAGCUGAGGGAAGGGGGGUUGUUUAGUCUGGAGAAGAGGAGGUUCAGGAGAGACAUUAUAGCUCUUUAUAGCUCUCUGAAGGGAGGCUGUGAUGAGGUGGGAGUCAGCCUCUUUUCCCAUGUAAUUAGCAGUAGGAAUAGAGGGGAUGGCCUCAAGUUGUGCCUGGGAGGUUCAGGUUGGAUAUUAGGAAAGAUUUCUUCUC